rnacentral:rRNA from 1 species
CCUACGGGAGGCAGCAGUGGGGAAUAUUGCACAAUGGGGGAAACCCUGAUGCAGCGACGCCGCGUGAGUGAAGAAGUAUUUCGGUAUGUAAAGCUCUAUCAGCAGGGAAGAGAAUGACGGUACCUGAGUAAGAAGCCCCGGCUAACUACGUGCCAGCAGCCGCGGUAAUACGGAGGAUGCGAGCGUUAUCCGGAUUUAUUGGGUUAAAAGGGUGCGUAGGCGGACUGUUAAGUCAGCGGUAAAAGCCCGGGGCCCAAGCCCGGCGAGCCGUUGAAACUGGCUGUCUUGAGAUGUCGAGAGGUAUGCGGAAUGCGCAGUGUAGCGGUGAAAUGCUUAGAUAUUGCGCAGAACUCCGAUUGCGAAGGCAGCAUACCGGCGGCGAUCUGACGCUGAGGCACGAAAGCGUGGGUAUCGAACAGGAUUAGAUACCCGGGUAGUC